GAUGAACGCUGGCGGCGUGCCUAAUACAUGCAAGUCGAGCGAACAGACGAGGAGCUUGCUCCUCUGACGUUAGCGGCGGACGGGUGAGUAACACGUGGAUAACCUACCUAUAAGACUGGGAUAACUUCGGGAAACCGGAGCUAAUACCGGAUAAUAUAUUGAACCGCAUGGUUCAAUAGUGAAAGACGGUUUUGCUGUCACUUAUAGAUGGAUCCGCGCCGCAUUAGCUAGUUGGUAAGGUAACGGCUUACCAAGGCAACGAUGCGUAGCCGACCUGAGAGGGUGAUCGGCCACACUGGAACUGAGACACGGUCCAGACUCCUACGGGAGGCGGCAGUAGGGAAUCUUCCGCAAUGGGCGAAAGCUUGACGGAGCAACGCCGCGUGAGUGAUGAAGUUCUUCGGAUCUUAAAACUCUGUUAUUAGGGAAGAACAAAUGUGUAAGUAACUAUGCACGUCUUGACGGUACCUAAUCAGAAAGCCACGGCUAACUACGUG
rnacentral:rRNA from 1 species